rnacentral:rRNA from 1 species
AUGCAGCGGUACGACCUGGAGGACCAGCUCACGGUCAUCUAUACGGACGAGGAGGCUUACUGGCGACUCAGGGGGACCCAAAAGUGGGUUCUCAAGGGGGAUGCUAACACCGCAUACUUCCAGGCCAUCGCCAAUGGUCGUCAUCGUCGCAAUACCAUCCCACUUCUGUGGGAUGGCGAGACCCUCCUGCAGCGCCCGGCCGAGCUUCGCGCUCAUGUAGACGGCUUUUAUAAUGCCCUUUUUACGGCUCCCCCGCGUGGGGGCUUGCCUCUUGCUCCCACCUUCUGGGUGGGCACCCAAUGUGUGUCGGACGCGGAGAAUGCAGCCCUCACGGCUCCAUUCUCGGAGGAGGAAGUUUGGCUUGCGAUUAUGGGCAUGAACCCGUCGUCCGCCCCGGGGCCUGAUGGCUUGCCAGUUAAGUUCUUUCAGACCUUCUGGCACGCUAUCAAACCGGAGGUCAUGGCUCUCUUUGAGGAGUUCUAUGUGGGCACCAUUGACCUCCACCGCCUUAAUUACAGGAUCAUUACCUUGAUCCCCAAGGUCCCGGACGCCUCCGACAUUCGCCAGUUCCGCCCCAUUACGGUGAUCAAUGUGAUCUUCCGCAUCCUUGCAAAGGGUACGACAAUAGGGUGGCCCCUUUGGCUGACCGCAUCACCCAUCCGGACCAAUCCGCCUUCAUACAGGGUCGCUAUAUCCUUGAUGGAGUCUUGGUCUUCCACGAAGUCCUUCACGAGGUCAAAUCCAAAAACCUCAAAGCAGUGUUCCUGA